rnacentral:rRNA from 1 species
UAACGCGUGAGGAACUUGCCUUUCAGAGGGGGACAACAGUUGGAAACGACUGCUAAUACCGCAUGACGCAUUUUGAUCGCAUGGUCGAAAUGCCAAAGAUUUAUCGCUGAAAGAUGGCCUCGCGUCUGAUUAGCUAGUUGGCGAGGUAACGGCCCACCAAGGCAACGAUCGGUAGCCGGACUGAGAGGUUGAACGGCCACAUUGGGACUGAGACACGGCCCAG